CAAAAUUUUUGAGUCAACUCUAAUAAAACACACCUGAACAAUCUAAUCAAGGUCUGAAGAUUUACUAGGAACCUACAGGCAGAGGCAGUCACGGUGUAGGUGUACGCAUGACCCGAGGGUUCUCUGGAGACAGGACGAAAUCAUGGAACCUUUGGUGUAACAACUGGCACGUACUUACAAACAUACAAAGUGUCCCCACCAUAGAGAACACAAGAACCAGAAGAAGAGAGAAGACACAAGAGUUACAUGCAGGUGAGAGUCACACAACGGCAUGGACCAGAGCACUCAAUGUGUCAGAUCAUGUGUAACACACACAUAUACACAGAAUAUAUUCCAUGUGUACCAUGGCAGACAGAGAAACUCAUGUAGUUCAUAUCCCAUGAUGAAAGACAGGUUAAAACAGCAGCAGGUGUGAGGAUGAGAGAAGAAACACAGCUGGAAAGACACAUAAGAAUACUGCAACUUUCUGGACAUCUUGAGGUAAAAGCGACAGCCCACGCCGAGCUUAAGGACAAAGCCACAUUUCACACUGACACCGGGGCGGCACGUGGUGACGUGGGCUGGCCCACCUGCCCGCUCGUCUCAUUAAACAUUCAUUGGCGGGUGGACGGGGUCCGUUCUGCAAGGAUAAAGGGAGUAUUAAAGAAUUUCACCUCUCCUCCCGGCGCUCGUGAUUGACUCUAAGCGGGCGACGGGGCAGACGAGGCCCAGUGGGGGUGGAAAUGAGGAAAAAGGCAGAAGGAAUGACCUCAAUGAGAAAAAAAAAAUGAAAUCUACAGGCUCCUACAGGUGCUUAUGCCAUUACAUUAGGGAAAACAAGCAGAGACAGAGAGAAAUAUAACAAACACAUGCACAUGGACACACAUAAACUGGGAUACAGACAUGUAACAAUCUCAGGGUUGGACAAAAUGUUUUGGUGUAUAGAUGGCACAGCGGUGUCACAGCAAUCAGUGCCCGGUGCUAAAUUACAGCUCUGUGAUUUCAAAGCCAUUGUGAAGGGAGGGCAGGGGCAGCUUCUGCGUCUUUUUCCUUCCAUCGCACAGGCUGUGGGUGAGACCCUGACUCUGUGUUUUGAUUGCAAGUUUCCAAAUAUACCCAUAAAGCCCUGCUGUGCUCCAGGCUUGGAGGCGUGCAAAGCACCUUUUUGGUUUCUGCUUCGUUAAAAGCGGUCAUGGUAAAGAGGCAGUUUGGUUACCUGCUUCAUAAUUGCAGAACUUCAAUAACGUUUCAUAAAGCCAGAAGACUUUGAGAAAACCUGGCUGUGAAAGCUGCAUUUAUUGCAAUUACAUCAUUUGUUAUGCUGAGAGUAGAGGAAUGCUCUAUAAUCACAUCUCUUCAACUCCACAACAAAUCU